rnacentral:rRNA from 1 species
UACGGGGGGAGCAAGCGUUGUUCGGAUUUACUGGGCGUAAAGCGCGUGUAGGCAGCUCGGAAAGUCGGGUGUGAAAGCCCUGGGCUUAACCUAGGAAGUGCACUCGAAACUUCCGAGCUUGAGUUCUGGAGAGGAAGGCGGAAUUCUCGGUGUAGAGGUGAAAUUCGUAGAUAUCGAGAGGAACACCGGUGGCGAAGGCGGCCUUCUGGACAGUGACUGACGCUGAGACGCGAAAGCGUGGGGGAGCAAACAGG